rnacentral:lncRNA from 1 species
GGGGAAAUGGUGAUUCACUGAAUCACUGCUGACUGCCUUAUGUCUCACAACUUGAACAAAAAAAAUGACACCCCUCGCGACAUAUGUAUACGGUGUAAAACCAAGCACAAUGAAUGCUAAAAUGAUAUCUCCUAGGAUUAGGUUAAUGCUCAUGUGGUGAGGCUUUUUUUUGGGAGAAAGAGGCAUCUAGGAAUCAACGUUGAGAAGAAUGUCUACAAGAUGAGAGCGAGAUGUUGAAGAGUGGGUGUUGUCCAUAUACAGUAGCGGAUGCAGCACAG